UUCAAGGAAGAGAUUAAGAGGGAGAAACCCAGCGCAUUUGAUGGCUGAACAGAGAGGAGAGUAGAUUUUUAGUUCUCUGAUCCUGAAGUGAGGACUGCCUGAAGUCAGGAGCUUCUGGGACAACUGAAGUAAAGUAAAAGAGGGCCUGAUCCUGACUUGUGUCGAGAGGGGACUAUUCCUAUCUAUUGUUGUAAGUCAGGUAGGGGCUACAGCCCAAUGAGUGCUCUCUGAAGGAAGUGAACAUUAAGCCAGUGUUGGGAUGAUUCCUUUGUGUAAUCUUCCUCCUUUCUGUGCUUUGACUGCUUUGGAAGGGGUCUGGACUAUCUGGGAGUCAGCUGAGGGCUGAGCCUCUUAGGCCUGGAACUGGAGUGGGAAGCUCUCCUGGCCCUUGGAGAGCUGUGGCCUAGUUUCCUCUGAUUGCUGCUAUUACCCUACGUACCAGAGGACUCUGAGCUCUCUUUUUGAGGGAAUCUGUUGGUGGAAGAGGAGUACUUGGAGCAGCUACACGUGACCUACGUCAGCAGGGGGUUCGACACCUUAUGAAGAAGCAGCAGGCAGCCAGGAAAGAAAAAGACAGAUGGAAGCUUACCAUCUCCUAGGAAAGAACAAAAUAUAUGUGUAAAGAAUUGAUUGAAAGGGACUACACUGGAGUUUCCUGUAUUUGUUAAUAGUGGAGGAAGUUUCUGGUUUUCAUGGUCAAGGAGAGAGCCGUCGAAAUGGGAGCCACGUGCAGUAGAUGCAGUGCGGCUGCCUGAGUAUGCAGCCUUCUGGAAACAAUGAUUUUGAACGGUGUGAACCCUCACCCCCUACUCUGUAUUAACUUCAAUGGAGUGUCAACAUCAGCGUCAACACUUACUGUGGCAUCACUGAUCAUUUUCGUAGAAGGAAGACUGUGGAAGCAGGGGAAGUUAGGAAUAGCUACAGGGAAGGAAAUGGAAAUGGAAAAAUAGAGGAGACAAAUAUAGGGAAGAGGGAGAGAAACAGAAAGGAGGAUGGGGAAGGAAGAGGAGCAAAGGGCAAAAAUAGCAGUGAUCCUAAGGGUGGGAAUAUUUUCUGUCAAAGUGAUACUGAAUGCAGCAAUAAGAUACUCAGUAAGUAACAAUAAUAACUAAAAGGUUACCGCAUAAAAGCCAUAUUUUAUCCCUGAUCUUUGUGCAAUGUCCCCUUCCUCCUGACUCUGAUGGUGAUUUCCUAUGUGGAUUAAGGGGUGUAUUUAGUCCUCUAUUUAUACACAGCCCACUGAUUUAUAAUGGAAUUUGGCCAUCUCCACCCAAUGUGUUUGACAUCUGAUUUAGAGCAAAAUUGAAUCACAAGAAAUUCCACAGAACCCAGUGAGUCAUCACCAGGUUUAUUUAAACUUACUUAAUUAACAUAAAAUAGCUGUAUGUAUAAUGAUGUGACAAUCCAAAAGCUUUAUUUUCAGAUAGGCAUCUGAGUGUUUUUCCAGAUAGCACAACAGACUUCUUUUUUCAAACACCUGUUUGGUGUAAGUAAAAUUAAUAUAAUAGAGAUCAAAGAAUGACUUAGAUUCAGAGAUUGAAAUAACAAUUUAACAGAGGAAAAAACCCUCAUAAAGGGGGAGAUGUUCUCAUGUGGUAUUCUGCAAUGCUACAGAAUUGCUGAGAGAGGACACCUAGUGGUGAUUAGUGGUUCAGUAUAUGCACAUGCCUAUAAAAAAGAGUUUGUGUAGCUGCUGAAAAUAUGUAAUAAACUUAAUAAUUGCCCUAAGGGGCUAACUGUUACAGCAGGCAGCUCUUUACCAAAAUAUUCUGCUUAGAAUUUACUAAAAUCCAAUUGACUUUUUCAUGACCACCACUUAAUGAUUUAAGUAGAAGGUCUAGAAAUUAAGGCAAAACUUGUCUUCCUUUUCCCCUUAAGACUUGUUUUGCUAAAGGAACUAGCUUGUCAAUAGAGGGUCCUUUAAAAUAAGACCCUUGUAUGAAAAUGCUUUUAAUUACCUGUCUGUAAGAUCAGGAAUUAUUUCUUUUAGAGA